rnacentral:misc_RNA from 1 species
UCCGGUUUGUCACCGGCAGUCUUCUUAGAGUGCCCACCUUUACGUGCUGGCAACAAAGAACAAGGGUUGCGCUCGUUGCGGGACUUAACCCAACAUCUCACGACACGAGCUGACGACAACCAUGCACCACCUGUCUCUCCUGUCCCGAAGGAAAGGUACAUCUCUGUACCGGUCAGGAGGAUGUCAAGACCUGGUAAGGUUCUUCGCGUUGCUUCGAAUUAAACCACAUACUCCACUGCUUGUGCGGGUCCCCGUCAAUUCCUUUGAGUUUCAGUCUUGCGACCGUACUCCCCAGGCGGAGUGCUUACUGUGUUUACUUCGGCACCGAGGAAACGAAUCCCCGACACCUAGCACUCAUCGUUUACGGCGUGGACUAC